rnacentral:rRNA from 1 species
AUUGAACGCUGGCGGCAUGCCUUACACAUGCAAGUCGAACGGCAGCACGGGAGCUUGCUCCUGGUGGCGAGUGGCGAACGGGUGAGUAAUACAUCGGAACGUACCCUGAAGUGGGGGAUAACGUAGCGAAAGUUACGCUAAUACCGCAUAUUCUGUGAGCAGGAAAGAAGGGGGAGUCGCAAGACCUCUUGCUUUAGGAGCGGCCGAUGUCGGAUUAGCUAGUUGGUGAGGUAAAAGGCUCACCAAGGCGACGAUCCGUAGCGGGUCUGAGAGGAUGAUCCGCCACACUGGGACUGAGACACGGCCCAGACUCCUACGGGAGGCAGCAGUGGGGGAAUUUUGGACAAUGGGCGCAAGCCUGAUCCAGCCAUGCCGCGUGAGUGAAGAAGGCCUCGGUU